AUUGAACGCUGGCGGCAGGCCUAACACAUGCAAGUCGAGCGGAUGAGAAGAGCUUGCUCUUCGAUUCAGCGGCGGACGGGUGAGUAAUGCCUAGGAAUCUGCCUGGUAGUGGGGGACAACGUUUCGAAAGGAACGCUAAUACCGCAUACGUCCUACGGGAGAAAGCAGGGGACCUUCGGGCCUUGCGCUAUCAGAUGAGCCUAGGUCGGAUUAGCUAGUUGGUGGGGUAAUGGCUCACCAAGGCGACGAUCCGUAACUGGUCUGAGAGGAUGAUCAGUCACACUGGAACUGAGACACGGUCCAGACUCCUACGGGAGGCAGCAGUGGGGAAUAUUGGACAAUGGGCGAAAGCCUGAUCCAGCCAUGCCGCGUGUGUGAAGAAGGUCUUCGGAUUGUAAAGCACUUUAAGUUGGGAGGAAGGGCAGUAAGCUAAUACCUUGCUGUUUUGACGUUACCGACAGAAUAAGCACCGGCUAACUCUGUGCC
rnacentral:rRNA from 1 species